CCUACGGGGGGCUGCAGUGGGGAAUAUUGCACAAUGGGGGAACCCCUGUUCCAGCGACGCCGCGUGAGUGAAGAAGUAUUUCGGUAUGUAAAGCUCUAUCAGCAGGGAGGAAAAUGCCGUUCCCUGACUAAGAAGCCCCGGCUAACUACGUGCCAGCAGCCGAGGUAAUACGUAGGGGGCAAGCGUUAUCCGGAUUUACGGGGUGUAAAGGGAGCGUGGACGGCCAGACAAGUCAGAAGUGAAAGCCCAGGGCUCAACCCUGGGACUGCUUUUGAAGCUGGCGGGCUGGAGUGCAGGAGAGGUAAGCGGAAUUCCUAGUGUAGCGGUGAAAUGCGUAGAUAUUAGGAGGAACACCAGUGGCGAAGGCGGCUUACUGGACUGUAACUGACGUUGAGGCUCGAAAGCGUGGGGAGCAAACAGGAUUAGAUACCCGUGUAGUC
rnacentral:rRNA from 1 species